rnacentral:snRNA from 1 species
GUACUUGCUUCAGCAGCACAUACACUAAAAUUGGAAUGAUACAGAGAAGAUUAGCAUGGCCCCUACACAAGGAUAACAUACAAAUUCAUGAGGCAGUUCAUAUAUUU